AGAAAAGGAAUGGGAGAGUGAACGCUUCAUUACGGCUUAAAACUUGUUCACGAAAGGGAUGUAACAAGUUUAUUUAGCAACCCCCCGAAAAGGCAUAAGCUCUUACGGUGAUUUCUGAAGACGAAAGGGAACAGAAAUAAAAGUCUGGAAACAUCA